AUGAUGCGUAUGUCAUUAGACAAUCAGGGAUAUGGCACAGAUUAAGAUCAAGUCAACGAGCAGACAUGUGGUUAUUGGGAGACCGUGGAUAUCCUUGCACCCCCUGGCUCAUGACUCCUUACCGUAAUCCCAGGCCAGGACCACAGACGGCAUUUAACUCCGCGCUUACUGCCACUAGGCAGCUGGUGGAGCGCACAAUUGGGGUCCUUAAAGGGCGGUUUCGUGUGCUCCACCGCACUGGUGGCGACAUCAUGUAUUCGCCGGAGAUGGCAAGUAAACUAGUGGUCCUGUGCGCUAUACUACACAACAUCGCGGUAAGGAGUAGCGUAGAGCUUCCUCAGACAGAGGAAUUGCCUGAUGAGGAGCCAGGGGUUGUCAGACACUUCGGUGGGGGGAGUGUUACACGGAGGGGGAGCCAAGUCAGGGCAAGCAUUGUUGCGGAAUAUUUCAGCUGAAUGAUCACACAAACUGUGGACGACCACAACGGCAAGCAACACAUGAGGCACCAUCUCAGCCCCCUUCCCCUUCUCACUCCCCCUCCACUUCCCAGUCCCCCUCCCCUUCUCACUCCCC